rnacentral:tRNA from 1 species
GAGUGGCUAGCUCAAUUGGUAGAGCACCUGGCUUUUAACCAGGGGGUUGGGAGUUCAACUCUCCCGCCAUUCACCA